AUGCCUUUGGAUGCCCUUGAUUGGGUGUCUGCGGGCGGAUGGCACGUUUACUUUGAACAAAUUUGAGUGCUCAAGUCAGGCCGAUGUUGCCUGUAAAGUUUUGCAUGGAAUAAUGGAAGAGGACUUCGGUUCUAUUUCGUUGGUUUUCGGAUCCGAAGUAAUGAUCAAAAGAGACAGGCGGGGGCGUUUGUAUGGCUGCGCUAGAGGUGAAAUUCAUGGACCGUAGCCAGACAAACUAAAGCGAAGGCAUUCGUCAAGCAUGUUUUCAUUGGCCAUGAGCGAAAGUCAGAGGCUCGAAGACGAUCAGAUACCGUCCUAGUUCUGACCAUAAACGAUGCCAACUGACGAUCCGUGGUGGUAGUGAUGUUGCCUUCCCCACGGGCAGUCGCCGGGAAACCGUUAAGUGUUUGGGUUCCGGGGGAAGUAUGGUUGCAAAGCUGAAACUUAAAGGAAUUGACGGAAGGGCACCACCAGGAGUGGAGCCUGCGGCUUAAUUUGACUCAACACGGGAAAACUCACCCGGGCCGGACACUGUGAGGAUUGACAGAUUGAGAGCUCUUUCUUGAUUUGGUGGUUGGUGGUGCAUGGCCGUUCUUAGUUGGUGGAGCGAUUUGUCUGGUUAAUUCCGAUAACGAGCGAGACUCCAGCCUGCUAAUUAGUGCGUUCGUCCACUGCGCCCGCGUGGGUGACGUUGGACGAUACCGUCUGCUGCGGGUGCGCAGUUUGCGCUCUUCCCCUCUCUCCUCUCCUCCCCUCUUGCGCUUCUUCGUGAGAGGGGGUGGGGUGGGGUGAGAGUGCAGGUUGACGCUCGUGGUUGGUUAGUCUGGCGUUGGCCUGCGGGUGCGGCGCGAAUGCUUACUUCUUAGAGGGACAAGCGGGAGAAGCCGCACGAGACAGAGCAAUAACAGGUCUGUGAUGCCCUUAGAUGUCCGGGGCCGCACGCGCGCUACAAUGACGGUGUCAACGAGUGAGACCUUCUGGCCCGAGAGGGUUGGGCAAACUGGUCAAUCACCGUCGUGACAGGGAUCGGGGCUUGGAAUUGUUCCCCGUGAACGAGGAAUUCCUAGUAGGUGCAAGUCAUAAGCUUGCGCUGAUUACGUCCCUGCCCUUUGUACACACCGCCCGUCGCUACUACCGAUUGAAUGGUUUGGUAAGAUCCUUGGAUCGGCGUCAUUGUGGCAGUUGCCGGGAGGUCAUUGUCCUGCAGUCGCUGAGAAGACGACCAAACUUGAUCAUUUAGAGGAAGUAAAAGUCGUAACAAGGUUUCCGUAGGUGAACCUGCGGAAG
rnacentral:rRNA from 1 species